GUAACCACGUAUGUAACCUACCCUUGUCAAGGGGAUAGCCUCUCGGAAAGAGAGAUUAAGCCCGCAUAAUAUUGUAGCAUAGCAUUAUGGAACAAUCAAAUAUUUAUAGGACGAGGAUGGGCAUGCGGAACAUUAGCUAGUUGGUAAGGUAACGGUUACCAAGGCUACGAUGUAGGGGAUCUGAAGGAUGACCCCCCAAUGGUACUGAACAGGACCAAACUCCUACGGGAGGCAGCAGUAAGGAAUAUUGGUCAAUGGGCGCAAGCCUGAACCAGCCAUGCCGCGUGCAGGAAGACGGCCCUACGGGUUGUAAACUGCUUUUGCAGGGGAAUAAACCCCGAUACGUGUAUCGGGUUGAAUGUACUCUGAGAAUAAGGAUCGGCUAACUCCGUGCCAGCAGCCGCGGUAAUACGGAGGAUCCGAGCGUUAUCCGGAUUUAUUGGGUUUAAAGGGUGCGUAGGCGGCCUUGUAAGUCAGGGGUGAAAGACGGUAGCUUAACUAUCGCAGUGCCUUUGAUACUGCAGGGUUGAAUGUACUUGAGG
rnacentral:rRNA from 1 species